UGAGGACUGAGUGCAUGUUGUUCGGCUCCUGGGACCUGUGGCCAAGGCAGGUCCAGCUGCCAGUGAGAACCAGUCCCUCAGGGAGCAGAAACCUACUGGGCCUUCUUCUUUUCCUUUAGAGCCUCUGGUGGGGGGGCAACUGGGGGCACCAAGGGAAAGGUUGACAGGAUGGCAACGACCCUGCAGAGCUCUGGGAGUUGCCUCUUGGGUGCAGCAAGUUCUGCCCCUCCCUGAUAGCCCAGGGCCUGGGAGGGGCAGCAUUUCUUACUCUGGGUGGAGCUGGAACUUGCCACCUACCUACUUUCUUAGGAUGGGUCCCUUCCUAGAGCACGGGGAAGCGGGCUGGCCGCUCCCUGCCCAGACCUGCUCUAAGAACACUGGGUACGGGGAGACCUGGGGCAGAAACAGCCAGACAGGGUGAGGGGUCUGAUAUAGGGCCAGGAUCUGGAGACAAGUUUCUUCAGAUCACUGCCCCGGACCUUUGGCCUCAAAACAGAGCCACCCUAUCUGUAAAGGGCUUCAGGAUCUGGAGGUCUGGGUGAGCGUGUGAAUGUCUGAGAGAAGAACAAAGGGGUGGCCCCUCCCAACCUAAAGGGACACUGAACUCUCAGGCCCCAUAUUGUUUUUGUCCAACGUGACCCCCACUGUCCCCCUGCUCCUUGGAGCUCACUUCCAAUCAAUGUUUCUUUCUCAUCGAUGUCUCUCUCUCUUUCCCUUCCUCUGUCUCUAAAGUCAAUAAAAACAUAUUUUUAAAAAAAUA